CAGACCUACGGGGCGCAGCAGUAGGGAAUUUUCGUCAAUGGGCGCAAGCCUGAACGAGCAAUGCCGCGUGAACGAGGAAGGUCUUCGGAUCGUAAAGUUCUGUUGAAGGGGAAAAAGAGCGGAGAGAGGAAAUGAACUCCGAUUGAUAUUACCCUUCGAGGAAGUCACGGCUAACUACGUGCCAGCAGCCGCGGUAAUACGUAGGGGGCAAGCGUUAUCCGGAUUUACUGGGUGCAAAGGGAGCGUAGGCGGUUUAGCAAGUCAGAAGUGAAAGCCCGGGGCCCAACUCCGGGACUGCUUUUGAA
rnacentral:rRNA from 1 species